rnacentral:rRNA from 1 species
UACAGAGGUCUCAAGCGUUGUUCGGAAUCACUGGGCGUAAAGGGUGCGCAGGUGGUCAUGUAAGUCAAAUGUGAAAGACUGGGGCUCAACCUCAGAUUUGCAUGUGAUACUGCGUGACUUGAGAACUGGAGAGGGAUCUUGAAUUCACGGUGUAGCAGUGAAAUGCGUAGAUAUCGUGAGGAACACCAAAGGCGAAAGCAGGAUCCUGGCCAGCCUCUGACACUCAGGCACGAAGGCUAGGGGAGCAAACGGGAUUAGAAACCCGGUAGU